CAGUCAUAGAUAGAUACAUCUACAGCGCGGUGGUGCUUGUUUUUGCGUUAGUUUGCUUUACGCUCAGUUCGGCGGGUGUUUUCGCCGGCACCUACAUCUUACGUGUGUAAAUACAUAGUUAGGAACCGAUCUUCUUACGGCCCAUAUAGCCGAGGCGGUAAACGCACGGGUAUUCAGCAUGACCAUGCUGAGGGUGACGGGUUCGAUUCCCGGUCUGUCCAGGAUCUUUUCGUAAAGGAAAUUUCCUUGACUUCCUUGGGCAUAGAGUAUCUUCGUGCCUGCCACACGAUAUACACAUGCAAAAUGGUCAUUGGCAGAGGAAGCUCUCAGUUAAUAACUGUGGAAGUGCUCAUAGAACACUAAGCUGAGAAGCAGGCUUUGUCCUAGUGAGGACGUUACGCCAAGAAGAGGAGAGGAGGUUCAUUCGACGCGGAAUCUGGUCCCAUUGUUUCCUAUUGAAAAUGGUUCGGAUCGGUUCAGCCGUUCCGGAGUUAUGACCAUUUAGGUGUUCCGGAUCGGUACCCCAGGAAGGGGCCAGAUAUGAAAAUGCUACAAAACCAUGCAUGCGACAUAUCAGACCACGGCUAUUUCGAUAACCUGACGAACGGUAAGCAGGAAAAUACUCUCAGUCCAUAUCUGAACCAGUAGUAUUCCGGAAUCGGUUCCGGAUGUCCCGCCGGAAGUGGCAAAAUAUAAAAGUGAGCCAAAUCCAUGCAUGCGACACAUCAAAUAGCAGCUUUUUCGAUAACCUGAUGCACAGUGAGCAGGAAAAUAGCCUUUGACCCAGCAGAGACUACCGAUAGUGUUCCGGAACCGGUUCCGGGUGCCCCGCCGGAGGUGGGCAAAUAUAAAAUUAAACCAAACCUAUGCAUGCAACACAUCAAAUCGCGUCUCUAUAGAUAAUCUGAUGAACGGUUAGCAAUAAAAUGGAAUCAGACUAUAUUUAGGAAAACCAGUAGUAUUCCAGAACCGGUUCCGUGUGUCCUGCCGGAAGUGAUCAAAUGUAGAUGGGAACCAAACCCAUGCAUGCGACACAUUAAAUAGCAGCUUUUUCGAUAACCUGACGAACGGUAAGCAGGAAAAUAGCCGUUAAUCACAGCAGAAACGAACGGUAGUGUUCCGGAAGCGGCUCCGGAUGCCCCGCCGGAAGUGGUCAAUUAUAAAAGUGACCAAAUCCAUGGAUGCGACACAUCAAAUAGCGGCUUUUUCAAUAACCUGGUGAACAGUUAGCAGGAAAAUAGCCUAAGAUCACAGCGGAGACUACCGGUAGUGCUCUAGAAUCAGUUCCGAAUGUCCCGCCGGAAGUGGUCAAAUGUAAAAGUGAACCAAAUCCAGGCAUACAACACAUCAAAUCGCGGCUCUUUAGAUAACAUGGUAAAGGGUUAGCAAGAAAAUGGUUUCAGGCCAUAUUUGAGACAACCAGUAGUAUUCCGGAACCGGUUUCAGGUGUCUUGCUGGAAGUGGUCAAAUGCAUAUAGGAGCCAAACCCAUGCAUGCGACAUAUCAAACCACGGCUUUUACGAUAACUUGAUGAACGGUUUACAAAAAAUAGACUCAGAUCACAUUAGAGACUACCGGUAGAACCCGUUUUGUAUGUCCCGCCAGAAUGACCAAAAUGUAAAAUGAAUCAAAUCCAUGCAUCAACAUCAAUUUUCGGCUUUUCAGAAAACCUGUUGUACAGUUAGCAAGAAACUAGUCUCAGACCAUAUUUGAGACACUAGGUACAGUCUUGGAACCGGUUCCGGGUAUCUCACAGAAAGUGGUAAAAACAGUUAAAAUAAUCGAUGCAAGCGAUAAAUAUGUGUAAGAGAACAAAAUCUUGACAAAACUGAUGCAGGCUCAUCAAAUCACACUUUCUCAUGUUACUGAGGUGUAAAUAUACAGUAGAUUUUUUUUUAUUUAGAUUUUUUGGUCAAUUUUUUUUUUUGAAUCUAGUAAGCAAUGAUAAUAAAAUAUAGCCUGAAGUGUGCAGGACAAAGUUUAUCGAAGACUGUAAAGUGAUUUUUGGUUAUGAAAUAAAUUAUAUUUUUAAGCUUA